AGAGUUUGAUCAUGGCUCAGAUUGAACGCUGGCGGCGUGCUUAACACAUGCAAGUCGAUCGGUAACGCGGGGGCAACCCUGGCGACGAGAGGCGGACGGGUGAGGAACGCUUGGGAAUCUGCCCAUCAGCGGGGGACAACCCGGGGAAACCCGGGCUAAUACCGCAUACGCUCCAAGGAGGAAAGCCGGGGACCGCAAGGCCUGGCACUGAUGGAUGAGCCCAAGUCGGAUUAGCUAGUUGGCGGGGUAACGGCCCACCAAGGCGACGAUCCGUAGCUGGUCUGAGAGGACGAUCAGCCACACUGGGACUGAGACACGGCCCAGACUCCUACGGGAGGCAGCAGUGGGGAAUAUUGGACAAUGGGGGAAACCCUGAUCCAGCGACGCCGCGUGGGUGAAGAAGGCCUGCGGGUUGUAAAGCCCUUUCGGUAGGGACGAAAGCUCUCGACCUAACACGUCGGGAGGAUGACUUAACCUACAAAAGAAGCACCGGCUAACUCUGUGCCAGCAGCCGCGGUAAUACAGAGGGUGCGAGCGUUAAUCGGAAUUACUGGGCGUAAAGCGCACGUAGGCGGCUUGGCAUGUCGGGUGUGAAAUCCCCGGGCUCAACCUGGGAACUGCAUCCGAAACUGCCUUGCUAGAGUAUGGGAGAGGGAAGCGGAAUUUCUGGUAGCAGUGAAAUGCGUAGAUAUCAGAAGGAACAUCAGUGGCGAAGGCGGCUUCCUGGACCAAUACUGACGCUCAGGUGCGAAAGCGUGGGGAGCAAACAGGAUUAGAUACCCUAGUAGUCC
rnacentral:rRNA from 1 species